ensembl:snoRNA
AUCAUUUUUAGCUCAUAAGCAUGACGAUUGGACACUCAUGCACACGUGUGAGAUGUGUCACCCUCCAACCUUGUGACGUUAGCACAUUAUUUAUCUGACA